rnacentral:lncRNA from 13 species
CUCUCCAACUGAAGUGCCCUCUUAAACAAAUCCCUCAGCUGAUAUCUUUGGCGUCUCUACGUCGUGCGCAGGUACCUGCGUAGAUCUUAGAUCGAUAGAUCUGAGCAGAAAUCGUUCCGAGAAUCGCAAAGGCCAAGGCAACGGCAGGCAGGAAAGCAGAUAUUCCUUGAGGUAGAAACAACGGGAAGAAGCCAACACCUAAAUCGUCGCCAAUCAAAUAAACGAACCGCAGCCGGUUCGUCGCGUCGCGCGUUUAUUCCGGGAGUGUCGUUUAAGUUAUCGGACUACUAGACUUUUCACAACUCCCAUUCGAUAGAAUCCUAAUUCGAGGACCGGAAAUCGCACCCCCGCUGCUUGGCAGUGGUACAUGUCCUCACUGGGCCGUUGCGCAUGAUGGCUACGGCGCACCGCGACGUCUCAUUCCGAGUGCCCGUGCACGAGGAAAUGCCGGGCCGCGUUAUGGCAUGCCCCGGGUGCAAUUUUAAACGUGAUUCUUGCGAGAUAAGAGGCGUCAGAUUCAAUGCCAUUGAUUUCGUUUUCUUCCGCGUGGGGCUUAACCCUUGUUCGGGGGUGGAUACGCGUGUGUCGUCGACUCGGGGUGCUGAAUCCACGGGCCUCCCUCCGAAUCGGAAGUCUUAUCGUGGGUUUUAUAAAUCCGAAGUGCCGUAGUGUGCGAAAGACUCUCAUAGAUAUAUUUAAUUAGUUCACGCGCGCAAUUUCAGUGCAUUUUACGCGAGUGUUUAUCGCGAGUGCAACAAGAGGAGAAAACUCGACAACCUGAAGCUGAGAGGAGGAGGUGGCCUGGGAGAGGCAUCGGGCUUCAGCGGAGCAACCUUGGGUAAUCACCGUAGCUUCGUGGCUGAUUAACUCCGCUCGUUGCGCAUCGGGU